GUACCGCGGCUGCUGGCACGUAGUUAGCCGGGGCUUCCUCCUAUGGUACCGUCAUUUGUUUCUUCCCAUAGGACAGAGUUUUACGACCCGAAGGCCUUCAUCACUCACACGGCGUUGCUGCAUCAGGCUUGCGCCCAUUGUGCAAUAUUCCCCACUGCUGCCUCCCGUAGGAGUCUGGACCGUGUCUCAGUUCCAGUGUGGCCGAUCACCCUCUCAGGUCGGCUACAGAUCGUCGCCUUGGUGAGCUGUUACCUCACCAACUAGCUAAUCAGACGCGGGCCCAUCCCAUACCGAUAAAUCUUUAGCUUCUGUGUCAUGCGACACUAAAGCCUCAUAUGGUAUUAAUCACCGUUUCCAGUGGCUAUCCCUUUGUAUGGGGCAGGUUGCCCACGCGUUACUCACCCGUCCGCCGCUUUCCUUCAUUUCACUUGGACCGAAGUCCGCAUUCCACAAAUUCUCGCUCGACUUGCAUGUGUUAGGCACGCCGCCAGCGUUCAUCCUGAGCCAUGAUCAAACUC
rnacentral:rRNA from 1 species